GCUCAGGACGAACGCUGGCGGCGUGCUUAACACAUGCAAGUCGGACGAUUUUUGUGGAUGCGGAUCUUUCGGGAGAAGCGUUCAUGGAGAUAGUGGCGGACGGGUGAGUAACGCGUGAAGUACCUGCCCUGGGGAGGGGGAUACCGUCUGGAAACGGACGUUAAUACCCCGUAAGCCGGGAGGUGAAAGGCCCGUAAGGGCUGCCCUGGGAGGGUUUCGCGUCCUAUCAGCUGGUUGGUGGGGUAACGGCUCACCAAGGUGAAGACGGGUAGCCGGUCUGAGAGGAUGGACGGCCACACUGGAACUGAGACACGGUCCAGACUCCUACGGGAGGCAGCAGUGGGGAAUAUUGGGCAAUGGGCGGAAGCCUGACCCAGCGACGCCGCGUGAGGGAUGAAGGCCCUUGGGUUGUAAACCUCUGUUGUACGGGAAGAAGCGAGUGACGGUAC
rnacentral:rRNA from 1 species